rnacentral:tRNA from 1 species
UGGGGUGUGGCUGAGUGGUACAGCACUUGCCUAGCAUGUAUGGCUCCAGGUUCAAUCCCCAACAUAG